CCGUUACAAGUGAGAUUAUUC
rnacentral:snRNA from 1 species